AGCCAGUCAGAAAUGAGCUUAUUCAUAAAAGUGCAGUAUGGUGAAGUCAAUCUGUAAUUUUAUGUAUAAGCUAGUCUCUGAUUGAAACAUGCAGCA
rnacentral:pre_miRNA from 1 species